rnacentral:lncRNA from 1 species
GAAGGUCCUGUGCAUGUUAGCAAGCAAAGAGAGAGUCAAAACAUCCAGCAGAAGCAGGAAGAGAAGAGUUACCCAGCAUUGCACAGCUAUCUUGAGAAGUAGAGGACAAGGCCCCUCUCUUCAGUUUUCCACUUGAAAUCAGCUCACCUUGGGAUGUAUAGAAUGGUAUACAGGCCUUUUAUAUGACGGCACACA